UACGUAGGGUGCAAGCGUUAAUCGGAAUUACUGGGCGUAAAGCGUGCGCAGGCGGCUUUGCAAGACAGAUGUGAAAUCCCCGGGCUCAACCUGGGAACUGCAUUUGUGACUGCAUGGCUAGAGUACGGUAGAGGGGGGAUGGAAUUCCGCGUGUAGCAGUGAAAUGCGUAGAUAUGCGGAGGAACACCGAUGGCGAAGGCAAUCCCUGGACCUGUACUGACGCUCAUGCACGAAAGCGUGGGAGCAACA
rnacentral:rRNA from 1 species